rnacentral:rRNA from 1 species
GGGAAACGAUGUGGGAAGGCCCAGACAGCCAGGAUGUUGGCUUAGAAGCAGCCAUCAUUUAAAGAAAGCGUAAUAGCUCACUGGUCGAGUCGGCCUGCGCGGAAGAUGUAACGGGGCUAAACCAUGCACCGAAGCUGCGGCAGCGACACUAUGUGUUGUUGGGUAGGGGAGCGUUCUGUAAGCCUGUGAAGGUGUACUGUGAGGUAUGCUGGAGGUAUCAGAAGU